rnacentral:lncRNA from 1 species
UGGCGAUCUAUCUCAUAGGGGUAUGGUGAAGACUAAUAGGAAAAAAAGUCCAACUUUUUUCAAAGUCAGUGAGCCCCAAUUUCUAAAGCGAGUCUGUCCAAGAGAAGUUUUAAAAAGCUAUUUGCUCCAUCCAGCUGCGAGUUUCUGUAACCACAUUUGCUCCUGACAUUCUAAUAAUUCUCUUUCCUUCUUUCUCUGCUACACUCAGUGUUGGCUGGUUCUGAUUGCCUAAAGCAGAAGGGGUUUUUUUCCUUGCACAAGAAGUUCUGAAAGCCUGAAUUUGUGCCUCUUGCUUCUCUUCGUGAAUUUUAACCCACACCUAUCCUAUCGGCAGAUUCUGCAAGCUGGAGCAGUGAGUACCUGGUUGUAGUUAGAUAAUACAUCGGAAAAACUCUGCAUGCGUGAAUAAACAGCCNUAGAUAGAUUGCGUAAUAGUUUAUCUCAAUGUAAAUUCCUAUUUAAUGAUGACACGCUCGUGGAGAGCGUACGUGGCCUCACUUUGCGGGGAAAAGCGAGUAAAGGAAGCGUAGGCGCUGCUAUUCACUCGACUAAGCGCCAACUUUGGACUGGAGAAGGGGCGGGGUCGUGGAAUAGGGAGCGCCCCCUGCUGGAGCCGCGUUGCUGGGCCAGCGUGCCGUCGGUCGCGCACCUUCUUCUUCCAUCCAGCCAGCGCAGCAGCGGCGCACAGCUGGAUCACAUCGACGCCUGGGCGGGCGGACGCGAUGGAGGCAGCUCGCCAGCCCCGCUGCUCGACCCGGCUGCCUCCUGCUGUUGCCGUCGCUCGGGCUGCAACAGCCGGCUGAGGGNAGUCCAGCCCGCGCCGUNGCUGCCACGCCUGCGGAGGGAGCCGCAAGAAAGAAUGUCAUGCUGACAGUUGCUGGGAUCCUGAAGUGCACAUGAACCAAGGAUCUUCUGAAGGAUUUGGGGAAUCAUUUCUUGCACUUUCCUGAGGCCUUGGGCCUCCUGAGGUAACUUGCACAUGCUCUGAUGACAAAAUUGCAUUAUAUUUGUGCACAGGGAAAAAAAGAGUUUCCUAAAAUAGCAUGAAGAUCUUGUCAGGAAAGAUGGCUGCCUGUAUGCCCCCCCCCCAUUACUGUUUUUAGUCUGUGUGUUUUACAUUUUGUUUUUCAUUGUUGUAGCCCGUCCUAAGACCUUUAGGUAUAGGGUGGGGCAAAAAUGCAAAUAAAUAAAUAAAUGCUUCCA